rnacentral:rRNA from 1 species
AGCGCAGGUGGUUUCUUAAGUCUGAUGUAAAAGGCAGUGGCUCAACCAUUGUGUGCAUUGGAAACUGGGAGACUUGAGUGCAGGAGAGGAGAGUGGAAUUCCAUGUGUAGCGGUGAAAUGCGUAGAUAUAUGGAGGAACACCGGAGGCGAAAGCGGCUCUCUGGCCUGUAACUGACACUGAGGCUCGAAAGGCUGGGAGCAAACA